rnacentral:rRNA from 1 species
UACAGAGGGGGCAAGCGUUGUUCGGAAUUACUGGGCGUAAAGGGCGUGUAGGCGGCUUUGCAAGUCGGGUGUGAAAGCCCUCGGCUCAACCGAGGAAGUGCGCCCGAAACUGCAGAGCUUGAGUACCGGAGAGGAUGGCGGAAUUCCCCAAGUAGAGGUGAAAUUCGUAGAUAUGGGGAGGAACACCGGUGGCGAAGGCGGCCAUCUGGACGGAUACUGACGCUGAGACGCGAAAGCGUGGGGAGCAAACAGG